rnacentral:rRNA from 1 species
CCCUUAGAUGUUCUGGGCCGCACGCGCGCUACAAUGGUCUUCGCAAACGGAUGCAUUCUCGAAGGAGAAUGCCAAUCUUGGAAUCUAUGCCUUGGUCGGGACAGUUGCUUGCAAUUUUUCGACUCGAACCAGGAAUUCCUUGUAAUCGUGAUUCAUCACAUCACGAUGAAUACGUCCCUGCCCUUUGUACACACCGCCCGUCGCUCCUACCGAUCGAAGAGUUAGGUGAAUUGUUUUGAUCGAUAAGAUUUGACUAUGGUCAACUCUCGUUGUGAAAUUCUGUGAAGCUGACCGUUUAGAGGAAGGAAAAGUCGUAACA